rnacentral:rRNA from 1 species
GUCUAUGGUCAUACCACCUUGAAUGUGCCUGAUCUUGUCUGGUCCCAGAAGCUAAGCAGAAUGGGGCUGGUUAGUGCUUGGGUGGGAGACUGCCUGGGAAUACUGGGUGCUGUAGGCC